GAAUGGCUCAUUACAACAGUAAUCAUCUAUUUGAUGGUAAAAACUACAUGGAUAACCGUAGUAAUUCUAGAGCUAAUACAUGCCAAAAACCCCGACUGUUUGGAAGGGGAGUAUUUAUUAGAUUCAAAAAUCAAGGCAGGGGGCAACUCCUGGAAAAUUGGUGAUUCAUGAUAACUUUUCGGACCACAUGGCCUAGUGCUGGUGGCGCAUCAUUCGAAUUUCUGCCCUAUCAACUUUCGAAGGUAGUAUAGAGGACUACCUUGGUAAUAACGGGUAACGGGGUUUUAGGGAACGACUCCGGAGAGUUUGCCUUAAAAAUGGCAAACACUUCCAAGGAAGGCAGCAGGCGCGCAAAUUACCCAAUCCGGAAUCCGGGAGGUAGUGACAAAAAAUAUCGACACAGGGUCCAAUAGGGCUUUGUGAUUGGAAUGAGCAAAAGUUAAAAUGCAUAGCGAAAGCCAUUGGAGGGCAAGUCUGGUGCCAGCAGCCGCGGUAAUUCCAGCUCCAAUAGCGUAUGUUAUAGUUGCUGUAGUUGAAAAGCUCGUAGUUGGAUUUCGUUUGCAGACAAGAACUUUUUUUACAAAAAGGACUUUUUCUUGUGAUUUCUCUAUACGUGUAAAACGUGGGAUGGAUUACAAGACUGCAAAUACUAAGCUAGAAGUUGGACAAAAAGGAUGGUUAAUUCGAUUCUUAUUUAUUUGUGUAAAAAGCAAAUGGAUUAUUCCGAGUCAAAUUGGAAGGAUGGUCUACUUCUUUGUUUACUGUGAGUAAAUUAGAGUGUUUCAAGCAGUCCAAAUAGGACAUUGCAUACAAUUAGCAUGGGAUAAUGGAAUAGGACUUGGGUUCUUUUUUCAUUGGUUUUAAAAAUAUACAAGGGCCAGAGUAAUGAUUAAAAGGGACAGUCGGGGGUAUUGGUAUUUUGACGUCAGAGGUGAAAUUCUAAGAUUUUCAAAAGACUAACAGGUGCGAAAGCAUUUGCCAAGGAUGUUUUCAUUAAUCAAGAACGAAAGUUGGGGGAUCGAAGACGAUUAGAUACCGUCGUAGUCUUAACUAUAAACGAUGCCGACCAGAGAUCAGAGGAUGUUGAAUGGAAGACACUUUUGGAAUCUUGAGCGAAAGCACAAGUUUUUGGGUUCUGGGGGGAGUAUGGUCGCGAGACUGAAACUUAAAGGAAUUGACGGGAGGGUACACCAGGUGUGGAGUUUGCGGCUCAACUUAACCCAACACAGGAAAACUCACCAGGGCAAGACAUUGUAAGGAUUGACAGAUUGAUAGCUCUUUCUUGAUUCGAUGGGUGGUGGUGCAUGGCCGUUCUUAGUUGGUGGAGUGAUUUGUCUGGUUUAUUCCGAUAACGAACGAGAUCUCAUCUUAUUAAAUAGAGGUAUACAAAUGGGUAU
rnacentral:rRNA from 1 species